rnacentral:rRNA from 1 species
UACAGAGGGGGCAAGCGUUGUUCGGAAUUACUGGGCGUAAAGGGCGCGUAGGCGGCCGGACAAGUCGGGUGUGAAAUCCCUCGGCUCAACCGAGGAACUGCAUUCGAUACUGUCUGGCUCGAGUCCGGGAGGGGAUGGUGGAAUUCCCAGUGUAGCGGUGAAAUGCGUAGAUAUUGGGAAGAACACCGGUGGCGAAGGCGACCAUCUGGACCGGAACUGACGCUGAGGCGCGAAAGCCAGGGGAGCGAAUGGG